UUUCUUGGUUCAUGAAAUUUCAAAUUUUUUAUUUAUCUAAUUUCUUUUACUAAUUUGGGUGUUGUUUAGAGAAUUUUGUUAUUGAAAGUGAAUAUCAUAUAUCUACAUAUAUAUAUAUAUAUAUUAUAAGUUAGGUUCAACGAAAGGUCGUCUGUACAAUCUGUAUAUAUGUAUGUAGAAAUCUGUCUGGGUUACCUUUGUUUUCCUUGCCCUUUUUUGGAGGUUAAGCAUGUUGCUUUUCCCAUGGUGUUUGCUCAAUUAAUGGUGCAGCAAACAUAACAAUGAACAUACCUGAUUACCGUAAUGCUUAAUAAUGAUUUCUUUAUUAUGGUUAUCUAUUAUUUUCAAUUCUUGUUCUCUCCUUACACGUGCACAGAGGUCAUCUUUUCGUCUUGUAGUAGUAGUAUAUAAACAUCUUAUUAUUUAAUAUUUUUUUAACUAAGAAUGAAUGUACAUUUUUUUUAAAAGGAAAAGAAUGAAUGUACAUAAUUUUAAAGGAAAAGAAUGAAUAUACAUUUGAGUAUCACAUAUAUUAGUACUCUUAAUUCUUUCAUUUUUCUCAUCUGACCUAUUGAAGACCUAUAAAAGUCUUCAAUAAUUCACUGCCUCAUUCUCUCUUCCUCUGCCACUUCAAUCUGUAUGUUACUCUCCCUAACUUUCAUUGAUUAUCACGACACCAUUGUCUCACACAUAGUUACUGCUUCCUUUUUUUAAAAAUAAAUACUAUUGUUUAUUUGAUGUUCACACAUAUGACACUCCACAUUGGUUUUUCUUUAUUGGGUACAAAAUGCAUAGUCACACAAGUUAUAGUAUUUUAUUUUAAUUCUUUGAAAGAAAAAAAAAACAACUAGGCAAGGUCACUUUUGUAUUUUAGUUUAUGGAGAAAUUGCCAAAAUACAUGAAUAGAUAUACCAUUACACACAUAAAUAAUUACAUGUAAGUAUUCAUAUUGCAUAAUGCAUACCCAAUAUGUUUGUUCCAUGUUACUCCAAAAACAAAUCAAUUCCGUGAAUUUCAAAGAAGUGGUAGGGAUAGCUUGAUUGGGACUUGUUUAACGUUAUUAGUUUCACACUCAUUUGGGGUACCUUGUUAUCCUCUUAGAUAUUAUUAUUAUUACUUUUUUAGAUAAAGACAUUAUUAUUACUUCAAAAUUGGUGUAUUAUGGGUAUGGUACAAUCUGAACUAUGAAUUAGUGCUUCUCAUUGGGACAUGUACAAUACUUUUUAUAAAUAUUAUUGAAUUAUACAACAUAUAGGUGGUGGUAGUUAGGUAAUAACACCAAAUGUGACAUAUGGCUGAUAUUUUUCUCUAUUUAGAAGAAGCACUUUUAAAAUUUAUUUAAUAUUGAAUUGAGUAAUAUACUAUGUGGUGAUAUACACAAAUAUUUUCUCUAGUACAAGUUCCAUGCUUCUAUCCAAGUUAUUGAACAUAGAUUUAAUAAGUUUGCUAGCUAUUGAUGAAAAAAGUAUUAAAAUUUAAUGAUAGUGCUUAGUGCAUGGAACCUCAUGCCAAUAAUCAUAUUUUAUUACAUAUAUAUUAUAUCUUUUCAAGCUCAUAUCUCAGAUUGAGUUUGUUUAUUAUUGUGUUUAGAUACUUAGGAGUUGUGGGGCUAGUCUAUUUAUUAUAUAUAUAUAAAAGACCGUGCUAUUAUUUUGAUCAUUUCUCCAAGUUUCAUUGUAAUUUCUUUAGUUCAGUUUGAUUUUUUUUUUUUUUGUGCAUAUCCAAAAUGAAUUGCAUAUUUCAUAGGCCUCCUGGAGUAAUAUACCCUUCAAUGGUGGCAUUGGAGGUAGUGAUUGGAAGCUUGGUCGAAUUUGGUUUUGAGGAUAUGUAAACAUAAUUUUUUUAUUAGAGUUUAAAUUGCAAUUUAUUAAUUUGUUAGUUAUGCUUAAUUUUUGGUCCUGUAGUGUUGGUUGAUAAUUUUACAUAUUAGAUUUCUUUUACUCUUACAUUUGAUACUUAAAUGGUUGAAACCAAACUGGAGUAUUGUAAAUAAGGUUAAUCAUAUUACCACUAUCAAAUACACUUAAUUAAAUAGAUAAUAAUGUUCCUCUCUAAUUUUCUGUGACAUUAUUGCAUAGAUUGCUGAUAUUUGAUUUAUAGGGAAUGCCUCAAUUUAAGACCCAACUAAAUGGAACUAAAUAAUGGAGCAAUAUAUAGUAGGCAUAAUUCAACAUGUUCUUUUGGACUCUUCAAGGUUCUUGGUAAGACAUCUUAGUUGCCUAUUAUGUUAGAGUGUGUUUACUCUUCUUAGUGGCUCUUUAGUUUUCUGUUAUGGUUGUUAUAAGUAGUUAAACUACUUUCUCAAUUGAUCUCUUGUAUAAAUACUCUCUUGUACAAAUUACUUGGUCAACAAUAAUACUUCUUCUUUCCAUAAAGAUUUUACUCUGUUUCGUUAGAAUUAAUAGUUCUAACAUUUUUUUUUGGAUUAUAAUCGUUCAAAUUUUAGUAAAUUUUGAAUAUUAAAAUAUGUUGUCAUUUCACAUGUCAUUAAUGUGUUGUAACUUCUAGAUGAGAAUUACAUAUAUAUGUUGCAAUAUAGAUUUGAUGUAUGAGUUAUUUUAAGUGGAACUUGAUAAAUCUCUAAUUUUUUUUCAAUUUUCAGCUUGUCGGGUGAAAUAAUUAAUCUAACAUGAGGAAAAUCAAUAUAAGCUUAUAUAAUGGCUUGUAUUGAGGUGAAAAGAGAAAUAUAUUUAUAUUGUGGCUGUCAUUUGUGUUUGAAAGAAAUGAAAAAAAAUCAAGAGUAUUUUCUAAUGACAAAUAUUAUUAGAGAGUGUAUACAUAUAUGGUUUGUUAAUCUAUACAUUUAUGUUUAUAGAAAUUUAUUUUGAUUAGCUCUGUGUAUUCCCCUGUGUUUCUUUUUAGUGAAGAAUGUAUUGCUUUUCCUUUUGUUUCAUCCUUUUGGCCGUCUUUGCCUAAGUUUGACUUGUAUUUUUUUAACUUUGUUUGCUUUUUUGCUGGUAUUUAAUUAUAUGAUAUUGUACUGGAUGAAUGAGAUGCUACCUCUAGGUUUUUGCUUCUCUACUUUUGAAAGUCAUCGGGCAAAUUUUGCUUUGUGACAACUAUUAUUUUUUAUUGUGAUUUCUUUACCCCCUUAUUGCAAUCUUUACUUAUUACUUUAUUUUUUGUGUUGCAUGAAAUGAGAAUGCAAGGAUGCAUGCAAUAUUGAUUCCACAUAGUUGGGGAGAAUCCUUUUCUUGUUGUUUUAAGCUCACUUCAAGUCUUCUACAUCCAUCGGCUUUUAAGCAAGCUAAUCGCCUACAAUCUAGUUCAAGAACUGCAUCACAAUAUCAUUAUGUUUUAAAGGAGCUUUGAGAUUGUGGAGUUAGACUUCGAUACAGAUCCUAAGUUGAAACUUUUCUAGUUGGCUGCCUUCAAAAGAAGAGGCAAGAUACUUGGUGUGCAAGUAAUUUUUUAUGGGAGACUCUUAUUUUUGUUUGCAAGAGGUAUUCCUUUUACCUUGGUUUUAUAUUAUUGAAAUAUUAGAGGAGUUUGAAUAUCUUAAAUAUUCAUCCAUAGUGAAGUAGGCUCUGAGAUUAUUAUUGUGUGCUGUGGUGAUAACAGAAGGUUAAGACCUUGUAUGUCUUAGUGAAGUAGGAUUUGAGAAAUUUGUGUGCUGUGGCGAGAUAAGGAAGAAAACAUGUGUGUUGUUUGUCUAUAUGCUUGUUAAGGUAGCUUUCAUUUCCAAUCCAUUUUAUAUAUGUAGGUCACUUAAUGUCAAAGAACAAUCAAUAAUUGAAAAUACCACUACAAGAAUACCAACCAAAAAUAGAACCUCCACUCCUUGAUAUUGAAAACCCAAUAAUUAAACACAGAAAGAGUGAGUACUUUGAGUACUAAUAAGAUAUAAGGAAGGCCAUGCACUUGAAAUUAUUGGAAAACUAGCAUUGUUAAUACUUAUAAAAAAAAGGCCAUGCCUAAGAGCAGCUUCCUACAGGGAGCCCCCACUAGAAGAAGAGAAAAAAUUCCUCAACACCUUCAAACUAUCUGCAUUGUCAAAUAUCCUAGUAGUAAAAUCUAUAAGAAUAGCAAUUAGAGAUUGUGUUAUUGAAAUAGAAAGAGAAAUAUCUAAGUGUAAAAGUAUAAUUCUACUCACUCAAUUCCUCAUUCCUCUACCUGAAUAGACAUGUUAAUUUUCCAAGUGUUUUUGAAUAGAAAUUGGGUUAUUAUUUAAUGUUUGUCCAAUUUUUUUUUAUUAACUAAUUCUUAGCACAAUAUAACAUCAGCCAAUACCUACAACGUAUAUACUCCACACCAUUGUACUUUCUUAUUCAUUAUUUAAAUAUCAACUUAAUAAUUGAGGAUGUUCCCUUUUCAACUUUUAUUUAAAAUGAGUGCAAUAUAACUGACAAUGCAAUAUAAAGGUCUCUCCUCUUAGCCAUCACAAAAAAAAGUAAACUCAAAAAAAGAUUCUUCACAAAAUAAUGGCAUGAUCGAUAAAAGAUUUUACUUGAAUUUAGAAGUUUUUUUUUUAAUCUAGAAUCCAUAGAAAACAGUCAAUGCUUGUCUAAAAUAUGUUCAAUGUACACUUUAUCAAUGACUUAGUAAGCCUAACAAUAAUAGCAAACUAAAAAUAGCACCCUUAUUUCAUAGGAUAGGAUCAAGCACAACAGAGUAAGGUUGGUUAAGAAAACAUAUAGCUUGGUCAGAGUUGUAACCUUCAACAACAAUUUUGUUAGCACACACUUUAUUUCAAAAAAAUUCUAUCCAUGUGGGCAAGUUUCCUGGUUCAAAUCUCUUAGAGUGUGAGUUGAGUGUUGUUUUAUUUGAGAUUCAUGCCUUGACACAUCACACUAAUAAAAGGACAACCAUAGAAAAAGUUCUCCAAUAUGCUUUCAUUUUUUUUUACGAAAAAGGAUAACAAGGUGCUGAUCCAUUUUCAUACUUUUUGAUAUUUUAAACAAUCCAAAAAACAUGACUGAGUGUAAAGACCAGAAAUUAAAAUGGUUUUCCAAAUGCUGAAUCAUAAGCUCCAUCCACAAAGGGAUAAAUUACCAAGUCUUUUACGCUGUUGGAUUUUCACUUCUCAAAUCCCUCUAUUUAAGUUAUAGAUAGUAGAUAUAAAUAUUAGGGCAGACAGAGCAACAAUUAAAUCCCAAAAACCUCACAAAAAAGGUUGUAAUUAAUAUAUAUACUCUUGUCAUUUUCAGAAAGAUUAUAACACAGGGAGCUCAAUCUUUAUUGUAUAAAUUAAACCAAUUAGUAAAGUCACUAUAGAGCCCUUGGAAACACAAUGGCCAAAAGUUGGACAAGCAGCUAGCAAACUUAACAAAAUUAUAGUAAAGGCCAAUACAACAAAUAAAACAAAAAAAUUGACAAAUAAGACACAACACACAAACGGAGAGUAGAACACCAACACCAAAUCAAAGUUUGCUUUCAUAUUCAAAGACAAUAGUUUGAAAGAGCAUACAUCCUAUAUAUUUAAAAAAAAAUGACAGCCUAAAUCCUAUAUCAAGUGAAAACACAGCAAAACAAACUUCAGUAUUUACGAUCUUGUGUUUGGUAAGAUAUUCAAUUCACUAUCAGGAAAAAAAGAUAUUGAAUUUUUUAAGAUAUGAGAAGAUGAACAAUGAGAAGCAAACCUGGGAGAAGGAACGUACUACUCUAGAGUUUCUAUUUUUUUCCCUUAUUUUGUCUAUUAUGCUUAUUUUUUGUGUGGUUAUAUGACAGGUAGUUGAGAAAAGGUUAUGAUUUCAGAAUAAUUGGAGGAUGAAUUUAUGCUCAUAAUGCAUACAUUAGUUAUACUAAUUUAUAUGCAGGGUUCAUUGAAUGAAAUUCUCCUUGAAGACCCAAAAUCUGGAACUACAGACAACGCUCAUGAGGAUGCCUAGACAAAAUUGUUUGGUAACCCAAAAUCUAGUCGUUUAAUCGGACACGGAAGAGGUGUAACAAGGUCGAAGCUAACUGUUGUUAAUAUGUGUAAUAGGAAGAUCUCCAAAUUAGAAGAAGAGUAGCUGUAGAAUAUUUUGUGCUGAAAGUAGUAACUUUUGAAUAUGUUGAAUAUUUAAGACUAUUUGAAUACUUUAAGAACAUUUUGUUGUUGAUGAUAGUGUUGAAUGUUUUAAACUAAUUUGUGGAUUGUUAAUAUAAUGUUGAAUGUUUUUACUA